rnacentral:rRNA from 1 species
GAUGAACGCUGGCGGCGUGCCUAAUACAUGCAAGUCGAGCGAACGGACGAGAAGCUUGCUUCUCUGAUGUUAGCGGCGGACGGGUGAGUAACGCGUGGAUAACCUACCUAUAAGACUGGGAUAACUUCGAGAAACCGGAGCUAAUACCGGAUAAUAUUUUGAACCGCAUGGUUCAAAAGUGAAAGACGGUCUUGCUGUCACUUAUAGAUGGAUCCGCGCUGCAUUAGCUAGUUGGUAAGGUAACGGCUUACCAAGGCAACGAUGCAUAGCCGACCUGAGAGGGUGAUCGGCCACACUGGAACUGAGACACGGUCCAGACUCCUACGGGAGGCAGCAGUAGGGAAUCUUCCGCAAUGGGCGAAAGCCUGACGGAGCAACGCCGCGUGAGUGAUGAAGGUCUUCGGAUCGUAAAACUCUGUUAUUAGGGAAGAACAUAUGUGUAAGUAACUGUGCACAUCUUGACGGUACCUAAUCAGAAAGCCACGGCUAACUACGUG